rnacentral:rRNA from 1 species
CCUACGGGAGGCAGCAGUGAGGAAUAUUGGUCAAUGGCCGGAAGGCUGAACCAGCCAAGCCGCGUGAAGGACGGAGGUGCCAAGCAUUGUAAACUUCUUUUGUCAAGGAACAAAAUCAGGCUCGAGAGCCUGACCGAGGGUACUUGAAGAAACAGCAUCGGCUAACUCCGUGCCAGCAGCCGCGGUAAUCCGGAGGAUGCGAGCGUUAUCCGGAUGUGUUGGGUUUAAAGGGUGCGUAGGCGGACUGUUAAGUCAGCGGUAAAAGCCCGGGGCGCAACCCCGGCGAGCCGUUGAGACUGGCUGUCUUGAGAUGUCGAGAGGUAUGCGGAAUGCGCAGUGAAGCGGGGAAAUGCUUAGAGAUUGCGCAGA